rnacentral:misc_RNA from 1 species
CCAUUGUUGGCACAUUGCUGCAAUGAAGUAUUUAUCUUUGAAAGGAGCAAAAGAGACGGAGAUUGAAAAAAUUAGGAGAUGUAGCAUGCAAGAUUUCUGUACCUGCCAUAGUCUUUCUCAUCUUGAAAGUCUACCAUGGUCAAAUAAGUUCACGCACUUUAAAGCAACUAAGUAUUGCUCGUUGCCCAAAGAUUUUAUGCAUUCAUUUACAACGUGUUUCAAUAAAUCGGUUUGGAGAACCAGUCAAACUUCAGGGCCACGUCAGCUUUCCAUUAAUUUUGAACAUGCUUCCGUUCACAUUGGACAAGGCACAAAGUCAAAAAGCAAUCCCUCAUCUGAACUAUUUUAAUGUGCAUUCUGACAGAAGAAUGCUAAAUUGUAUUCAUGGACAAAGUACUUACUCAAAGAUUGUAGGAGCUGAUGGAUCUGGGUUCAAUGAACACACAGAAACCUUGUUGGGAGAAUCCAGUUUGCCCCAAACCAAAGGCUGUUCCAAAGCCAUAUUUACAGAUGAGAGCAUGCAAACUAAUGACAAGGCCAGUGAAACUUCCUCAGUAGCUCCUGCAGAUCCUUUGCUAUACCGUCUUGUUUCUCUUGUGGAGCACUUUGGAAAGGCCGGAGGUGGCCAUUAUACUGUUUAUAGAAGUGUGAGCUCCCAGACACUGAAAGAGCAUACCAGUGAAAUUCUCAAGCCUUCCCAUCUUCAGUGGUUUUGUAUAUCAGAUUCUGAUGUCUCCAG